CUUGCUUUUAUAUAAUUUAAAUAUUUCGUUUGAUCAAACGUUUUAUGAAAUAUGUCUAAAACAUGGCUUUUAAUUAUUUUAGAAACGUUAGAGUAACGUAUUCUAAUGGUUUAGAAAUUCAGUUUAAAACAGAUAACGUUAAUAUGAGGAAGAAACGUGUACGUUUUAAAUAAAUAAUCGUUUGUUGUAAAAGUUGAAAUCAAACUGAUGCUUUUAAUAUCAUGUUUAGAUCAUGAAACUUUAGCCUUGAGUUCAGAGACAGGGUCACACAUUGUGAACUCUCAUUUGGUCUGUGUAAGUUACAGACAUUUUUGUCUUUUUCAAAUGUUUUUGAUGAUGCCCACUUAAAUCACAGUUUUGUCUCUUUUCCUCAGACCCUGAUGGAUAAAAGAUGGAUAUUUUUUCCUGGAGAAGCUAAAACAAUGUCACUUUGAGGUUCUGAUACCAGCUUUUACAAAGUUAUUUACAGAGUUCACAAGACUUCUCUGUGUUAUUCCCUGACCAUGCCGUAAAAGCUAUUUGAAACUUGGGCACUUGGGCAUUUUACAGACAGAAUCCUGCAAAUUCCCAGCCAAGAACCAAGAGCAUCAACAAAUCACCUCCAGAACCCCAUGAUGAUAUUCCAACUCCUGUCUACAAAAGUGGGAAGAAAAGUUUAUGUUGGGACCAACAUGGUUGCAUUCUUCUGAGAGGCUGAGGUGACAAAACCAUUCCCAUUUGUCCUUGAAUUGGAAGAUGACGAUCUCUGCAAUUAAGCCUUCGUUGUUUUUGACAGACAGUCACUCCAGCAAUACACCCUCCUUGGUGAUGUUGACAUGUUUAAAACUUUUUUUAUGUCUUGGACAUUAAUUUUACUAAGCAGUGCACAUCAGUGUGGGUGUUUUUGAAGACUGUUGUUUACAAACUCCCAAGAACAGAAUCCCUUUCUAUAAGAAGUCUGUGUAGUUAUUUGUCAUGCUAAGGUGAUAACUCAUGUUGAUCAUAUAUUGACUGUUUGUGCAACUUAGUGUUGAUCUUAUGUGUUACAUUAACCAUUUCUUAUUACACGGUUCUCUAAAAUGCUAGUUUCUGAUUGGCCAGUCGUGACAUUCUACUACUGCUCAAAACUAAAAACUCCAAUGCUGCAAAUCAUUUUGACAGGUACAGUUUUAUAUUACACAAAAAUUUAAUAUAAAUGUCUAUUAAUAACAUAUCCGACAUUUAAUUUACAAAUGAUUAAACCAAUGUGUUAAUUACAUUCAUCCUAAAGAAACUGUUGGGGCUUAUUUCUGUGAUAACAACCUGCUGCCAGUACAUUAUCCCUU